GGCGCUGUGGUGUAGUGGUUUGGGCUCUCGUCUUUCAAUACGAGGGUCGCGGGUUCGAGUCCCACUAUUGCCC
rfam:Strongylocentrotus purpuratus Contig78087_fixed, whole genome shotgun sequence.